UAUUAUUUUAUGAGGUACCCCAAAGAAUCUAGGAGAUAUAACUUCUACUAUGCUAAAGAACAAGAGUUGUUCGGCAUUUAUUUUAGAAAAAUAGUACCUUGGUGAAGGUACUUGUACCUUUAAUAUAAAAUUUAUGAAGUUUGACAGAUAGAAAAAUCGACAUAAUCUGAUGAACCCAUAGAAUCAGAUUUGAUUAGAUCAAACUUGAAAUCCAUUGUAAAGGCACCA
rnacentral:lncRNA from 1 species